rnacentral:snRNA from 1 species
GGAUGUGAACACAGUCUGGCUGCGACAUCUGUUACCCCACAGACGGCCAGCAUUCAUUCAUUCAUUCAGCUGAUCUGCCUGACUAGUGAAGAGCCUCCUCCCCUCACUGAAACAUGUGCAUUUCUCCUAAAGCAUUUGUUAAAGAGGACAACUUUCCCAGAAUAGAGAAGGGAUGACCUUUGGUCUAAAACCCACAAACAAGCUCUUAAAAGACUGAUAGAUUUG